rnacentral:ncRNA from 1 species
AUUAUGGCUGUGAUGAGAAGAGUAAAUAUAAGAGGUAGUCUUAGCGAGCAAGGGUUGGUGAAAGCCUUGUAUGAAACUUAUAUUGAAGAACAUCUCGGAGCUUCUAACCGAAAUCUUUUUAGAGAGUAGACUUAGACGGAGUCAACCCGUUAUACGUUGAGCUGCAUUACAUUGUGCAGAUAUGAGCGGCUGUUUUCAGCAAAUUGGGUGGUACCACGGAAUUAUACCUUUCGUCCCUUAU